GCCUGGAAAGCUCAGUCAGUAGCACAUCAGACUUUUAAUCUGACAGUCCACGGUUUAAGUCCCUGUUUGUGAG